ACCAUCAAGGAGAAAACACUUAACACACACAAUGGAUUGUACAAGAAAGAUACUUGCAGUAAUUAUUUACCUUGYAGUUGUUGAUGGUCAGACUCUGACUGAAUCUGAACCAGCAGUAAAAAACCCUGGAAACUCCCACAAACUGACCUGCACAGCCUCUGGAUUCACAUUCAGCCACUACUGGAUGGUCUGGAUCAGACAGGCUCCUGGAAAAGGACCUGAGUGGGUUGCAAAUAUUGAAGAUGACAGUGACAGGAAAUUUUACUCUCAAUCAGUUCAAGGUCGGUUCAUCAUCUCCAGAGACAACAACAAGCAGCAGGUGUAUCUGCAGAUGAACAACCUGAAGAUAGAGGAUUCUGCUGUCUAUCAUUGCRCUCGAGACGCACAGUGACUGAAGUUGUUGCAGCAGCUGCACMAAAACCUGUAGAAAUUCACUCUGAUCUGAAAAACCCUACCUGCUGCAUCUGUGCUCACGUAUUGAAUUUUUUUACUUCUAUUAGAUGAAGAUAACUAAUAUGCCAUGCCAAAUAAUUUACACCCAAGUAAAUAGUAAAUAAAGACUAGCAGAUAUACAAUUAAAUAUACAUCUCAACACACCAUGACUAUAGUUCUCCCUGAGGUACAGCCACAUGUUUCAAUAUAAUCUGUGUUGAAAUGGGAAUGAGGUCAGACAUUUUGUUUUCUUGCUCAUUUUGCUGUCAGUUUUU